rnacentral:rRNA from 1 species
CCUACGGGGGACAGCAGUGAGGAAUAUUGGUCAAUGGACGGAAGUCUGAACCAGCCAUGCCGCGUGCAGGAAGACGGCUCUAUGAGUUGUAAACUGCUUUUGUACAAGGGUAAACCUGAAUACGUGUAUUCAGCUGAAAGUACUGUACGAAUAAGGAUCGGCUAACUCCGUGCCAGCAGCCGCGGUAAUACGGAGGAUCCAAGCGUUAUCCGGAUUUAUUGGGUUUAAAGGGUGCGUAGGCGGAUUGAUAAGUUAGAGGUGAAAUGUCCGAGCUUAACUCGGGAACUGCCUCUAAUACUGUUGAUCUAGAGAGUAGAUGCGGUAGGCGGAAUGUAUGGUGUAGCGGUGAAAUGCUUAGAGAUCAUACAGAACACCGAUUGCGAAGGCAGCAUGCCGGCUUCCGACUGACGCUGAAGCACGAAAGCGUGGGGAUCGAACAGGAUUAGAUACCCCUGUAGUC